UAGCCAGAAACUCCUUUCACAUUUGACCACGUUGCUUGUGAGUCAGUGAAUCAGGAAGUGCUUUUCCAAGUUGCUGGUUUACCAAUGGUUGAGAACUGUAUGGCUGGAUACAAUAGCUGUGUAUUUGCUUAUGGGCAGACUGGAAGUGGGAAGACACACACAAUGCUUGGCGAAAUCAGUGAGUUGGGAGUGAAGCCUGGUCCAGAAUGUGGCAUGACACCGCG